rnacentral:rRNA from 1 species
CUGCAACCCGCCUGCGUGAAGUUGGAAUCGCUAGUAAUCGCGGAUCAGCAUGCCGCGGUGAAUACGUUCCCGGGCCUUGUACACACCGCCCGUCACACCAUGAGAGUCGGGAACACCCGAAGUCCGUAGUCUAACCGCAAGGGGGACGCGGCCGAAGGUGGGUUCGAUAAUUGGGGUGAAGUCGUAACAAGGUACC